CACGUAGGCGGAUAUUUAAGUCAGGGGUGAAAUCCCAGAGCUCAACUCUGGAACUGCCUUUGAUACUGGGUAUCUUGAGUAUGGAAGAGGUAAGUGGAAUUCCGAGUGUAGAGGUGAAAUUCGUAGAUAUUGGAGGAACACCAGUGGCGAAGGCGGCUUACUGGUCCAUUACUGACGCUGAGGUGCGAAAGCGUGGGGAGCAAACA
rnacentral:rRNA from 1 species